rnacentral:rRNA from 1 species
CCUACGGGAGGCAGCAGUGAGGAAUAUUGGUCAAUGGGCGGGAGCCUGAACCAGCCAAGUCGCGUGAGGGAAGACGGUCCUAUGGAUUGUAAACCUCUUUAGGCGGGGAGCAAUGCCGGGCACGCGUGCCCGGAGGGAGAGUACCCGCAGACUAAGCAUCGGCUAACUCGGUGCCAGCAGCCGCGGUAAUACGGAGGAUGCGAGCGUUAUCCGGAGCUAUUGGGGUUUGGGGGUGCGUAGGCGGAUUUUAAGUCAGCGGUAAAAUGUCCGGGCUCAACCCGGGCCGGCCGAUGAAACUGGGGAUCUUGAGUGGGCGAGAAGUAAGCGGAAUGCGUGGUGUAGCAGUGAAAUGCAUAGAUAUCGCGCAGAACUCCGAUUGCGAAGGCAGCAUACCGGAGCCCGACUGACGCUGAGGCACGAAGGCGUGGGGAUCGAACGGGAUUAGAUACCCUAGUAGUC